UACUCUGGAGAGUCUCGUAAAACGAGCGCCGAAGGUGUACAGCGGAAUGACAUAGUUUCCGCCUAUCUCUCAGGCAAAAGGACAGGGC
rnacentral:ncRNA from 1 species